GGGGAAAAGGUGCAUCCAGACCGCUCGACGGACCGAUAUAGGCUCGCGUUGGAUCCCACAACAUAUCCGAACAGCGCGAUCCAUACGUAUGCACGUGGUUUGACGGUUGGCGCUCGAGAUGCCAAAAACACUAAUGAAAGCUGCUAUAACUGAAAUGUUGCCUUAUUGGUUAAAUGGUCACACCAAUGGAUACAUAUUAAUGAGAAGAAUCUUAUGUGCACCUACAACCUAGGUGUAGUUCCCUUAUUUAAACUCAUAUAUUAAAAAAUAAAAUAGUUGAAUACAAUCAUUUCUUCGCCAUGCAGGGCGAAAAACCAUUACAGAGAAAACCAUCUGAGCUAACUUUCCUAUUUUGUGAGUCACCGCAUUAUACCUUGUCCAUUAAUCUUCACCAUCUUAAAAUUUGGAAGAAGCUUGGUGAUGGCUACCGCUUCCUUGUUCGGAUCCACAAGCGAAGACCUAUCAAGAUUAUAAUGUGCAAGGAAGAAUACCAUAAGAGAGCUUAAAUCUAUCUGCAGUUGUUUUAGUGUCAGAAGCAAAGUCUUUCUCCAAAAAAACAAAGAGAUGUCUGCAAAUGUUGGCCGGAUUUUCCUUCUUAGUUCUAACAAAAUUAGCAGAUUAUUCCAUCUAACCAGUUUCUUACACAAAACCCAAGAAAGAUGUAAUAAAGCGAAUUGAAAGGUGUUAGCUCAUCAUGAUAUGUCGUUGUUUGCAUGUCCA
rnacentral:lncRNA from 1 species